AUUGAACGCUGGCGGCAGGCCUAACACAUGCAAGUCGAGCGGAUGAAGGGAGCUUGCUCCUGGAUUCAGCGGCGGACGGGUGAGUAAUGCCUAGGAAUCUGCCUGGUAGUGGGGGAUAACGUCCGGAAACGGGCGCUAAUACCGCAUACGUCCUGAGGGAGAAAGUGGGGGAUCUUCGGACCUCACGCUAUCAGAUGAGCCUAGGUCGGAUUAGCUAGUUGGUGGGGUAAAGGCCUACCAAGGCGACGAUCCGUAACUGGUCUGAGAGGAUGAUCAGUCACACUGGAACUGAGACACGGUCCAGACUCCUACGGGAGGCAGCAGUGGGGAAUAUUGGACAAUGGGCGAAAGCCUGAUCCAGCCAUGCCGCGUGUGUGAAGAAGGUCUUCGGAUUGUAAAGCACUUUAAGUUGGGGGGAAGGGCAGUAAGUUAAUACCUUGCUGUUUUGACGUUACCAACAGAAUAAGCACCGACUAACUUCGUG
rnacentral:rRNA from 1 species